rnacentral:rRNA from 1 species
CCUACGGGUGGCAGCAGUGAGGAAUAUUGGUCAAUGGGCGCGAGCCUGAACCAGCCAAGUCGCGUGAGGGAAGACGGUCCUACGGAUUGUAACCCUCUUUUGGCGGGGAGCAAAAGACGCCACGCGUGGCGGUCCGAGAGUACACGAAGAAAAAGCAUCGGCUAACUCCGUGCCAGCAGCCGCGGUAAUAAGGAGGAUGCGAGCGUUAGACGGAUUUAUUGGGUUUAAAGGGGGGGCAGGCGGAAGAUCAAGGCAGCGGUAAAAUUGAGAGGCUCAACCUCUUCGAGCCGUUGAAACUGGUUUUCUUGAGUGAGCGAGACGUAUGCGGAAUGCGUGGUGUAGCGGUGAAAUGCAUAGAUAUCACGCAGAACUCCGAUUGCGAAGGCAGCAUACCGGCGCUCAACUGACGCUCAUGCACGAAAGUAUGGGUAUCGAACAGGAUUAGAUACCCCUGUAGUC